GGGGUGGUGGCGCAGUUGGCUAGCCCGUAGGUCUCAUAAUCCUGAGGUCGAGAGUUCGAGCCUCUCUCACCCCA
rnacentral:tRNA from 1 species